rnacentral:rRNA from 1 species
AAUGAUGGGAAUUUAAACCCCUUCCAGAGUAUCAAUUGGAGGGCAAGUCUGGUGCCAGCAGCCGCGGUAAUUCCAGCUCCAAUAGCGUAUAUUAAAAUUGUUGCAGUUAAAAAGCUCGUAGUUGAAUUUCUGCUGCAUUAAUUUUUCUCAUGUCGAGUUAAUUAUUGCGGCUUAUUUCGGAUUGAUUUUUUCUUUCCGGAUGAUUACUUUGAGAAAAUUAGAGUGCUUAAAGCAGGCUUUUGCCUU